rnacentral:rRNA from 1 species
UACGAAGGGGGCUAGCGUUGUUCGGAAUUACUGGGCGUAAAGCGCACGUAGGCGGAUACUUAAGUUAGGGGUGAAAUCCCAGAGCUCAACUCUGGAACUGCCUCUAAUACUGGGUAUCUCGAGUCCGGAAGAGGUGAGUGGAAUUCCGAGUGUAGAGGUGAAAUUCGUAGAUAUUCGGAGGAACACCAGUGGCGAAGGCGGCUCACUGGUCCGGUACUGACGCUGAGGUGCGAAAGCGUGGGGAGCAAACAGG